rnacentral:rRNA from 1 species
GACGAACGCUGGCGGCGUGCUUAACACAUGCAAGUCGAACGGAAAGGCCCUGCUUUUGUGGGGUGCUCGAGUGGCGAACGGGUGAGUAACACGUGAGUAACCUGCCCUUGACUUUGGGAUAACUUCAGGAAACUGGGGCUAAUACCGGAUAGGAGCUCCUGCUGCAUGGUGGGGGUUGGAAAGUUUCGGCGGUUGGGGAUGGACUCGCGGCUUAUCAGCUUGUUGGUGGGGUAGUGGCUUACCAAGGCUUUGUCGGGUAGCCGGCCUGAGAGGGUGACCGGCCACAUUGGGACUGAGAUACGGCCCAGACUCCUACGGGAGGCAGCAGUGGGGAAUAUUGCACAAUGGGCGGAAGCCUGAUGCAGCAACGCCGCGUGCGGGAUGACGGCCUUCGGGUUGUAAACCGCUUUCGCCUGUGACGAAGCGUGAGUGACGGUAAUGGGUAAAGAAGCACCGGCUAACUACGCG